GACGAACGCUGGCGGCGUGCUUAACACAUGCAAGUCGAGCGGUAAGGCCCUUUCGGGGGUACACGAGCGGCGAACGGGUGAGUAACACGUGGGUGACCUGCCCUUAGCUCUGGGAUAAGCCUGGGAAACUGGGUCUAAUACCGGAUAUGACUCCAUGACGCAUGUUGUGGGGUGGAAAGCCUUGUGCGGCUAGGGAUGGGCCUGCGGCCUAUCAGCUUGUUGGUGGGGUGANGGCCUACCAAGGCGACGACGGGUAGCCGGCCUGAGG
rnacentral:rRNA from 1 species